rnacentral:lncRNA from 1 species
UGAAGAAGCCAAAGUCAUGAUGAAUCUUUCCCAUGAGAAGCUGGUGCAGUUGUAUGGCGUCUGCACCAAGCAGCGCCCCAUCUUCAUCAUCACUGAGUACAUGGCCAAUGGCUGCCUCCUGAACUACCUGAGGGAGAUGCGCCACCGCUUCCAGACUCAGCAGCUGCUAGAGAUGUGCAAGGAUGUCUGUGAAGCCAUGGAAUACCUGGAGUCAAAGCAGUUCCUUCACCGAGACCUGGUGGGACCUUAGAAGGAUUGGCCUAGGACAAAGGGCUGAUGGGGUGGAAGUAGCAGUGGAAGAUAUAUCAUACAUGGUUGAGGGGGGCUGCUGGUGCCAUCAUUUCAAUUUUAUCUAGAAAGUACUAUAAGUUAGGCGUGCCUCUGCCCCAGUGCUGAGCCCAUCAAAUAUCUCCAGCCUCAGCUCCAUGAAGUCUGCCGUGGUGGGAAUCAGAGCAGUCACUCACUCCCAACCCCCUACCACCCACAAGAAAAUGGUGGGGUCUUUCAGUGGCCAUUCUGGAUUUGGAACAGAAGGGACUGUGCUUCCCAAUGGGACUGCUCCUGGCAUGGGGCCAUCAUUUGGUUCCUUCAGAGUCACAUACUGGGGCCUGUGGAUGCAUUUGGCCCACAUGUGUGGGUUUUUUUUAUGUUAUAUAAUAAUUAGCAAACCCUUAAAAAGAAACAUUUCGCUUAAAAAAAAAAAAA